UACGUAGGGGGCUAGCGUUGUCCGGAUUUAUUGGGCGUAAAGAGCGUGUAGGCGGCCAGGUAGGUCUGCUGUGAAAACUCGAGGCUCAACCUCGAGACGUCGGCGGAAACCAUCUGGCUAGAGUCCGGAAGAGGAGAGUGGAAUUCCUGGUGUAGCGGUGAAAUGCGCAGAUAUCAGGAAGAACACCGGUGGCGAAGGCGGGUCUCUGGAACGCAACUGACGCUGAGACGCGAAAGCGUGGGGAGCAAACAGG
rnacentral:rRNA from 1 species